rnacentral:rRNA from 1 species
ACGCUCGACACCUACGGGAGGCAGCAGUGGGGAAUAUUGCACAAUGGGGGAAACCCUGAUGCAGCGACGCCGCGUGAAGGAAGAAGUAUCUCGGUAUGUAAACUUCUAUCAGCAGGGAAGAAAAUGACGGUAUCUGACUAAGAAGCCCCGGNUAACUACGUGCCAACAGCCGCGGUAAUCUGAGCGGGCUGGCAAGGC